rnacentral:lncRNA from 1 species
GCCUGAGUCUACAGUCAACCUAUUUUAGUCGUGUGCCCCACAACGACAUUUUGGUCAACAAUGGACUGCAUAUACCAUGUGGCCCCAUAAGAUUAUAAUAGAGCUGAAAAAUUCCUGCUGCCUAGUGACAUUGUCGCUGUUGUGAUGAUGUUGUAGCUAUUGUAGUAGCACAAUGCAUUACUCACGUGUUUGUGGUGUUCCUGUUGUAAAUAAGUCGACUAUGCUGCCAGUUGUAUAAACGUCUAGCACAUGUAAUUCUGUAUAGUACACAAUACUUGGUAAUGAUAAUAAACGACUAUGUUACUGGUUUAUAUAUUUGUUGUACUAUUUAUCAUUACUUUAGAGUGUAUUC